rnacentral:rRNA from 1 species
UGGGGAAUUUUUCGCAAUGGGGGAAACCCUGACGAAGCAACGCCGCGUGAAGGAUGAAGGCCUUCGGGUCGUAAACUUCUGUCAACCGGGAAGAAACCAUCCAGUCGAAUAGACUGUGGUGCUGACUGUACCGGUGGAGGAAGCUCCGGCUAACUCUGUGCCAGCAGCCGCGGUAAUACAGAGGGAGCAAGCGUUGUUCGGAAUUACUGGGCGUAAAGGGCGCGUAGGCGGCCCAGCAAGUCUUGUGUGAAAUCCCCCGGCUCAACUGGGGAACUGCACAGGAAACUGCUGGGCUUGAGUUCGGGAGAGGGAAGCGGAAUUCCGGGUGUAGCGGUGAAAUGCGUAGAUAUCCGGAGGAACACCGGUGGCGAAGGCGGCUUCCUGGACCGACACUGACGCUGAGGCGCGAAAGCUAGGGUAGCAAACGGGAUUAGAUACCCCCGUAGUCC